CAGUAGCCGCGGGAAUACGUAGGGGGCUAGCGUUAUCCGGAUUUACUGGGCGUAAAGGGUGCGUAGGUGGUCCUUCAAGUCGGUGGUUAAAGGCUACGGCUCAACCGUAGUAAGCCGCCGAAACUGGAGGACUUGAGUGCAGGAGAGGGAAGUGGAAUUCCCAGUGUAGCGGUGAAAUGCGUAGAUAUUGGGAGGAACACCAGUAGCGAAGGCGGCUUUCUGGACUGCAACUGACACUGAGGCACGAAAGCGUGGGUAGCAAACAGGAUUAGAUACCCCCGUAGUCCCUGUCUCUUAUACA
rnacentral:rRNA from 1 species